AACACUAGGGGAGCCAUAUGGCUGAGAAGAUGUACGCAUCUGACCCUUCGAACCUGUUAGGUUAAUACCUGCGUAGGAAAGUGAUAC
rnacentral:ncRNA from 1 species